ACUUUAAUAGUUUAUGAAAAACAUUGGUCUUGUAAACCAAAGACUGAAGGCUGUCCCCCUUCUUAGAGUU
rnacentral:tRNA from 1 species